rnacentral:rRNA from 1 species
ACACGCUGGCGGCGUGCUUAACACAUGCAAGUCGAACGAAAAGAGGGAAAGAGCUUGCUCUUUCCGGAAUUGAGUGGCAAACGGGUGAGUAACACGUAAACAACCUGCCUUCAGGAUGGGGACAACAGACGGAAACGACUGCUAAUACCGAAUAAGUUCCAAGAGCCGCAUGGCCCAUGGAAGAAAAGGUGGCCUCUACCUGUAAGCUAUCGCCUGAAGAGGGGUUUGCGUCUGAUUAGCUGGUUGGAGGGGUAACGGCCCACCAAGGCGACGAUCAGUAGCCGGUCUGAGAGGAUGAACGGCCACACUGGAACUGAGACACGGUCCAGACUCCUACGGGAGGCAGCAGUGGGGAAUCUUCCGCAAUGGGCGAAAGCCUGACGGAGCAACGCCGCGUGAGUGAUGACGGCCUUCGGGUUGUAAAACUCUGUGAUCCGGGACGAAAAGGCAGAGUGCGAAGAACAAACUGCAUUGACGGUACCGGAAAAGCAAGCCACGGCUAACUACGUG